rnacentral:rRNA from 1 species
GACGAACGCUGGCGGCGUGCUUAACACAUGCAAGUCGAACGGAAAGGCCCUGCUUUUGUGGGGUGCUCGAGUGGCGAACGGGUGAGUAACACGUGAGUAACCUGCCCUUGACUUUGGGAUAACUUCAGGAAACUGGGGCCAAUACCGGAUAGGAGCUCCUGCUGCAUGGUGGGGGUUGGAAAGUUUCGGCGGUUGGGGAUGGACUCGCGGCUUAUCAGCUUGUUGGUGGGGUAGUGGCUUACCAAGGCUUUGACGGGUAGCCGGCCUGAGAGGGUGACCGGCCACAUUGGGACUGAGAUACGGCCCAGACUCCUACGGGAGGCAGCAGUGGGGAAUAUUGCACAAUGGGCGGAAGCCUGAUGCAGCAACGCCGCGUGCGGGAUGACGGCCUUCGGGUUGUAAACCGCUUUCGCCUGUGACGAAGCGUGAGUGACGGUAAUGGGUAAAGAAGCACCGGCUAACUACGUGCCAGCAGCCGCGGUGAUACGUAGGGUGCGAGCGUUGUCCGGAUUUAUUGGGCGUAAAGGGCUCGUAGGUGGUUGAUCGCGUCGGAAGUGUAAUCUUGGGGCUUAACCCUGAGCGUGCUUUCGAUACGGGUUGACUUGAGGAAGGUAGGGGAGAAUGGAAUUCCUGGUGGAGCGGUGGAAUGCGCAGAUAUCAGGAGGAACACCAGUGGCGAAGGCGGUUCUCUGGGCCUUUCCUGACGCUGAGGAGCGAAAGCGUGGGGAGCGAACAGGCUUAGAUACCCUGGUAGUCCACGCUGUAAACGGUGGGUACUAGGUGUGGGGUCCAUUCCACGGGUUCCGUGCCGUAGCUAACGCUUUAAGUACCCCGCCUGGGGAGUACGGCCGCAAGGCUAAAACUCAAAGGAAUUGACGGGGCCCCGCACAAGCGGCGGAGCAUGCGGAUUAAUUCGAUGCAACGCGUAGAACCUUACCUGGGUUUGACAUGGAUCGGGAGUGCUCAGAGAUGGGUGUGCCUCUUUUGGGGUCGGUUCACAGGUGGUGCAUGCCUGUCGUCAGCUCGUGUCGUGAGAUGUUGGGUUAAGUCCCGCAACGAGCGCAACCCUUGUUCACUGUUGCCAGCACGUUAUGGUGGGGACUCAGUGGAGACCGCCGGGGUCAACUCGGAGGAAGGUGGGGAUGACGUCAAGUCCUCAUGCCCCUUAUGUCCAGGGCUUCACGCAUGCUACAAUGGCUGGUACAGAGAGUGGCGAGCCUGUGAGGGUGAGCGAAUCUCGGAAAGCCGGUCUCAGUUCGGAUUGGGGUCUGCAACUCGACCUCAUGAAGUCGGAGUCGCUAGUAAUCGCAGAUCAGCAACGCUGCGGUGAAUACGUUCCCGGG